AUUGAACGCUGGCGGCAUGCCUUACACAUGCAAGUCGAACGGCAGCACGGGUGCUUGCACCUGGUGGCGAGUGGCGAACGGGUGAGUAAUACAUCGGAACGUACCUUAUCGUGGGGGAUAACGCAGCGAAAGCUGUGCUAAUACCGCAUACGCCCUGAGGGGGAAAGCGGGGGAUCGCGAGACCUCGCGCGAUUAGAGCGGCCGAUGCCUGAUUAGCUAGUUGGUGGGGUAAAAGCCCACCAAGGCGACGAUCAGUAGCUGGUCUGAGAGGACGAUGAGCCACACUGGGACUGAGACACGGCCCAGACUCCUACGGGAGGCAGCAGUGGGGAAUUUUGGACAAUGGGGGCAACCCUGAUCCAGCAAUGCCGCGUGAGUGAAGAAGGCCUUCGGGUUGUAAAGCUCUUUUGUCAGGGAAGAAACACCGGCUCUAACACAGUCCGGGAAUGACGGUACCUGAAGAAUAAGCACCGGCUAACUGCGUGCCAGCAGCCGCCGUAA
rnacentral:rRNA from 1 species